CACGUAGGGCGCGAGCGUUGUCCGGAAUUAUUGGGCGUAAAGAGCUCGUAGGCGGCCUGUUGCGUCCGCUGUGAAAGCCCGGGGCUUAACCCCGGGUCGGCAGUGGAUACGGGCAGGCUAGAGGUAGGUAGGGGAGAAUGGAAUUCCCGGUGUAGCGGUGAAAUGCGCAGAUAUCGGGAGGAACACCGGUGGCGAAGGCAGGUCUCUGGGCUGACACUGACGCUCAUGCACGAAAGCGUGGGGAGCAAACAGG
rnacentral:rRNA from 1 species